rnacentral:lncRNA from 1 species
GUUCUUUGAGAAAAUAUGAGCCCUUUUGUACAAACAAAUAUAUUAUAACUUAUAUUGAUCCCUCAUAAAACAUGUAAAAGGGAUAUUUAUAACAUUAAGGGGUUGUCCCCAAACAAAUUAUGACUUGGAUGGAGAAUUGUCUCAUUGUCAGUCACACAUACAUAGACCAGAUUUAAUUAUUUCUUGGUGAACAGGGAAAAAAUACUUCAGAAAUUAAAGAAAUGUCAAAGUACAAGUGAUAAAUCAUGCUUUAAUAUUGUCAAAACCUACUAUUUUAUAAAAUUUAUAAUCGCUCGCCUUUACUUUUCAAGCUUCACCUCAAAAAUUUGCAAAUUAAAUAUUUUUUUUAUUAAAAUUUUCAAAUCGCUCGCUCGCCCCAAAUUUUAGAGUCCAAAAAUCCGUAGAACAAGAAAUUAAAUUGGUGUG